rnacentral:pre_miRNA from 1 species
AAGCUUUUGUGAUUUAGCAAUUGUGCUUUUAAACAAAUUGCAUAGUCACAAAAGUGAUC